CUUCAACGACCCCAGGUACAGGGGCUCCUGGCGGUCCUGUCCGUAGGCGGCCAGCAGGGCCUGCGCCUC
rfam:Streptomyces sp. H-KF8 tig00000016, whole genome shotgun sequence.